rnacentral:rRNA from 1 species
UACGGGGGGGGUAAGCGUUGUUCGGAAUUACUGGGCGUAAAGGGCUCGUAGGCGGCCAACUAAGUCAGACGUGAAAUCCCUCAGCUUAACUGGGGAACUGCGUCUGAUACUGGAUGGCUUGGAUUCGGGAGAGGAAUGCGGAAUUCCAGGUGUAGCGGUGAAAUGCUUAGAGAUCGUCCAGAACACCGAUAGCGAAGGCAGCUUACUAAGGAGUAACUGACGCUGAGGCACGAAAGUGUGGGGAUCAAACAGG